GACGAACGCUGGCGGCGUGCUUAACACAUGCAAGUCGAACGGAAAGGCCUGCUUUCCCUUGUGGAUUGCGGGUACUCGAGUGGCGAACGGGUGAGUAACACGUGAGUGAUCUGCCCCCAACUUGGGUAUAAGCCUGGGAAACUGGGUCUAAUUCCCGAUAGGACUGCAGGGUGGUGCCUGUGGUGGAAAACGAUUUUCUAGUGGUUGGGGAUGAGCUCGCGGCCUAUCAGCUUGUUGGUGGGGUAAUGGCCUACCAAGGCGGCGACGGGUAGCCGGCCUGAGAGGGUGGACGGCGACAUUGGGACUGAGAUACGGCCCAGACUCCUACGGGAGGCAGCAGUGGGGAAUAGUGCACAAUGGGCGGAAGCCUGAUGCAGCGACGCCGCGUGGGGGAUGACGGCCUUCGGGUUGUAAACUCCUUUCGACCGCGAGGAAGCCACCUGGUUGGAAGGGUGGUGACGGUAGUGGUAGAAGAAGCACCGGCUAACUACGUG
rnacentral:rRNA from 1 species